rnacentral:rRNA from 1 species
GCUUAAAACCUAGUCCUACCAAUCCCAAUAAAAUUAAACCAACCCCCCCCCGCCCGAAUAAAACAUUUUUUCACUUAGUAAAGGCGAUUAAAAAGUAUUUAAGAACUAUAAUGUUAGUACCGCAAGGGAAAGGUGAAAUAAAAAUGAAACAGAUUUAAAGCACCAUAAAGUAGAGACUUACCCUCGUACCUUUCGCAUCAUGGUUUAAUUAGUAAAAUUAAGCGAAAUGAAGUUUAAGUUUAACACCCCGAAACUGAACGAGCUACUUCAAAACAGCCAUACGAGCCAACCCGUCCCUGUUGCAAAAGGGUGGGAAGACUUUUAAGUAGAGGUGAUAAACCUACCGAGUCCAGAGAUAGCUGGUUAUUCAGGAAACGGAUAUUAGUCCAAUUUUAAGUCUCCACACAACACUAAAUGUGCCCAUAGGCUCAAAAUUCACUCAAAUAAGGUACAGCCUAUUUGAUACAGGACACAACCUUUGACAGAGGGUAAUGUAUAAGAUGCUAUGAUUAAGUAGGCCUAAAAGCAGCCACCUUUUAAAAAGCGUUACAGCCUUAUCACACUGUAUUAUUAAUCCCAACCUUAACUCAAAACCCCUUAUUAAUACUGAAUGACCCCAUACUAAUAUGGGAGCCCUUAUGUUAAAACUAGUAACAAGAAUAAUUAUUCUCCUACAAAUGUAAGUGUAAGCCGAAAUGGACCACCCGUCGGCACUUACCGCUAAUGAACACACAGUAAUAACUCCACCAGAAAACUCUACUUCCACCAGCGUUAACCUUACACAAGAACUUUUCUGGAAAGAUUAAAAAAGGGGGAAGGAACUCGGCAAACAUUAACCCCGCCUGUUUACCAAAAACAUCGCCUUCUGAAAAUUAAUUGAAGGUCCAGCCUGCCCAGUGACAAACUUAAACGGCCGCGGUACCUUAACCGUGCAAAGGUAGCACAAUCACUUGUUCUUUAAAUAAGGACUAGUAUGAACGGCACCACGAGGGUUACUCUGUCUCCCCCCUUUAAUCAGUGAAAUUAACCUCCCCGUGAAGAGGCGGGGAUGACCCCAUAAGACGAGAAGACCCCAUGGAGCUUUAAACUCAGUACCACUUGUACACUAUUACAUCACCUAAGCCAAGCAAGCCUGCUUACUAAGUUUUUGGUUGGGGCGACCGCGGAGUAAAACACAACCUCCACGACGAACGGAAAUAAAUUUCCUAAUCAAAGAGCCACCCCUCACAGAAUCAAUAUAUUGACCCAUUUGACCCAAUACACUUGAGCAACGAACCAAGUUACCCUGGGGAUAACAGCGCAAUCCAUUUCAAGAGCCCAUAUCAACAAAUGGGUUUACGACCUCGAUGUUGGAUCAGGGUAUCCUAGUGGUGCAGCAAUUACUAAAGGUUCGUUUGUUCAACGAUUAAAACCCUACGUGAUCUGAGUUCAGACCGGAGUAAUCCAGGUCGGUUUCUAUCUAUAAAGAGUUCCCCCUAGUACGAAAGGACCGGGGUGACAUGGCCAAUGAAUAAACAAGCCAUCACUAUAACUAAUGACGACAACUCAAUUAGUUCCAACCUGAUAAUAACCUUAAGAUAAAAGA